rnacentral:rRNA from 1 species
CGGCGAGUGAAGCGGCUAUAGCUCAAAUUUGAAAGCUGGCCCCUUCGGGGUCCGCGUUGUAAUUUGUAGAGGAUGAUUCGGCGAGGGCUCCCGUCUAAGUCCCUUGGAACAGGGCGUCAUAGAGGGUGAGAAUCCCGUAUGUGAUGGGCUGCCUUAGCCAUGUGAAUCUCCUUCGACGAGUCGAGUUGUUUGGGAAUGCAGCUCUAAAUGGGAGGUAAAUUUCUUCUAAAGCUAAAUACCGGCCAGAGACCGAUAGCGCACAAGUAGAGUGAUCGAAAGAUGAAAAGCACUUUGGAAAGAGAGUUAAAAAGUACGUGAAAUUGUUGAAAGGGAAGCGCUUGCAGCCAGACUUGUCCGCAGUUGCUCAGCUUGUCUCCUGACAGGCGUACUCUUCUGCGGCCAGGCCAGCAUCAGUUCGGGCGGUCGGAUAAAGACCUGGGGAAUGUAGCUCCUCUCGGGGAGUGUUAUAGCCCUGGGUGCAAUGCGGCCAGCCUGGACUGAGGAUCUCGCUUCGGCUAGGAUGCUGGCGUAAUGGCUGUAAGCGGCCCGUCUUGAAACACGGACCAAGGAGUCUAACAUCUAUGCGAGUGUUUGGGUGUCAAACCCAUGCGCGUAAUGAAAGUGAACGGAGGUGGGAACCCUCACGGGUGCACCAUCGACCGAUCCUGAUGUCUUCGGAUGGAUUUGAGUAAGAGCAUAGCUGUUGGGACCCGAAAGAUGGUGAACUAUGCCUGAAUAGGGUGAAGCCAGAGGAAACUCUGGUGGAGGCUCGCAGCGGUUCUCACGUGCAAAUCGAUCGUCAAAUUUGGGUAUAGGGGCGAAAGACUAAUCGAACCAUC